rnacentral:rRNA from 1 species
UACGUAGGGGCUAGCGUUAUCCGGAAUUACUGGGCGUAAAGGGUGCGUAGGUGGUUUCUUAAGUCAGAGGUGAAAGGCUACGGCUCAACCGUAGUAAGCCUUUGAAACUGGGAAACUUGAGUGCAGGAGAGGAGAGUGGAAUUCCUAGUGUAGCGGUGAAAUGCGUAGAUAUCGGGAGGAACACCGGUGGCGAAGGCGGCUUUCUGGCCAGUUACUGACGCUCAUGCGCGAAAGCUGGGGUAGCGAACCGGAUUAGAUACCCGGGUAGUCCCUGAGCGGGCUGG